rnacentral:rRNA from 1 species
AGCGAACGCUGGCGGCAGGCUUAACACAUGCAAGUCGAGCGCCCCGCCAGGGGAGCGGCAGACGGGAGAGUAACACGUGGGAACAUACCUUUUGGUUCGGAACAACUGAGGGAAACUUCAGCUAAUACCGGAUAAGCCCUUACGGGGAAAGAUUUAUCGCCGAAAGAUUGGCCCGCGUCUGAUUAGCUAGUUGGUGAGGUAACGGCUCACCAAGGCGACGAUCAGUAGCUGGUCUGAGAGGAUGAUCAGCCUCACUGGGACUGAGACACGGCCCAGACUCCUACGGGAGGCAGCAGUGGGGAAUAUUGGACAAUGGGGGCAACCCUGAUCCAGCCAUGCCGCGUGAGUGAUGAAGGCCUUAGGGUUGUAAAGCUCCUUUGCCCGGGAAGAUAAUGACGGUACCGGGAGAAUAAGCCCCGGCUAACUUCGUG